rnacentral:rRNA from 1 species
GACGAACGCUGGCGGCGUGCUUAACACAUGCAAGUCGAACGGAAAGGCCCUGCUUUUGUGGGGUGCUCGAGUGGCGAACGGGUGAGUAACACGUGAGUAACCUGCCCUUGACUUUGGGAUAACUUCAGGAAACUGGGGCUAAUACCGGAUAGGAGCUCCUGCUGCAUGGUGGGGGUUGGAAAGUUUCGGCGGUUGGGGAUGGACUCGCGGCUUAUCAGCUUGUUGGUGGGGUAGUGGCUUACCAAGGCUUUGACGGGUAGCCGGCCUGAGAGGGUGACCGGCCACAUUGGGACUGAGAUACGGCCCAGACUCCUACGGGAGGCAGCAGUGGGGAAUAUUGCACAAUGGGCGGAAACCUGAUGCAGCAACGCCGCAUGCGGGAUGACGGCCUUCGGGUUGUAAACCGCUUUCGCCUGUGACGAAGCGUGAGUGACGGUAAUGGGUAAAGAAGCACCGGCUAACUACGUG